CCUGUUGUUAACAUUUUUGAAUCCCACCACUGAGCAAUGUAUUCCACUGUCAAACAACCUUUACUGUCAGGAAGUUCUUCCUAAUGUUCAGGUGGAAUCUUUUUUCCUAUACCUUGUAUCCAUUACUCCUGGUGAUAGUCUCUGGAGCAGCAGAAAACAAGCUUUCACUCUCUUCAACAUGACAUCUCUUCAAAUAUUUAACCAUGAAAAAACAUUCAUUACAAAGAUUACAAAUCAAAGGUCAAGAAAUAGCAGUUCUUAAAAAAGUACCUAUCCAGGCGCUAAGGAGAAGAAAAAAAUAUGCUCCUUUGACAGACACCCUCAAAAAACAAAAUGUAAUGUUCAAAUGGAACUUGAUCAAAGGAAUAUCUCUGACUUUAAAGGUAAAAGAAAGAACAUUGACACUAUCUCAAAAGCCAAUGAUUUCUUUA